AAAUAAAGCAUUUUUUUUUUUAUAGAAUUUUAUUUUUGUUCAUUUGAAUUUUAUAUAUUUAUUUACUAUUAUAUUAUUUAGGAUAAAUAGUUGUUGUUAUAUUUCGACAUUUUUUUUUUGUAAUUAGCUUUUAUAAAAAUGACUUGUAUAUUGUUGUUGAACUCUUUUUGGUUGGCAAGACAUGUCCAGGCAGUUCCAGGCUUUGUUUAUAUUAUCAUCUAAACAAAGAUUAGAUGAUGAAUGAGUUUGAUUUAUUAAUUGUCAUACAGAGACAAAUGAUGUAAUCAUCAACAUGUCCUGCUGAUUGAUACAGAAACAAUGCAUGUCAAGAUGCAUCUUGUUUACAUCAAUCAUCUUCAAAAGGAAGUGUGGCGCGUCCUGGUGUACCAUGUCCCGUCAAAUGUAACGGACUGGCGUCUGCAUAAAAAAUAAAAAACAAUCCAACAAAUCAACUUGAAUUUAUAUAUAAAUAAUAACAGU